CAGCCCUAAACGAUGCGCGUUAGGUGUAUCGGUGACCACGAGUCACCGAGGUGCCGAAGGGAAACCGUGAAACGUGCCGCCUGGGAAGUACGGUCGCAAGGCUGAAACUUAAAGGAAUUGGCGGGGGAGGCACCACAACGGGUGGAGCCUGCGGUUUAAUUUGGACUCAACGCCGGGAAGCUCACCGGAUAAGACAGCGGAAUGAUUGCCGGGCUGAAGACUCUGCAUGACUAGCUGAGAGGAGGUGCAUGGCGUAGUCGU
rnacentral:rRNA from 1 species